AAAGGUGAAAGAUACAAACUUCAACAUUGAUCCCUUGAAAUUUAAAAUUACUUAUGAGUGUCUAUAACCCUAAAGUUAAAAAAAUAAAAAGAACCAAAGUAAUGUGUUUUUCAGGAAGAGAAACCUAAGCAAGAGACACUGUAGACAAGGCUGAACAAAGAUUAUCUGUUGCCUUCAGAUUAUUUGUCCUGGGAGUCAUUUACAAAGAAGAAAAUUGGACUGAAACUUAGUACUUCACAAUUUUAGAUGGAAAACAAUCCCUGGCACAGAACAACCAUUCCAUGAAUUUCUGGUACUUGGAUGAAUAACUGAAUCAAUGGAAAUGGCAGACCAGAGGAGUAAAAUCAUCUUUCCAAAGUCAUCACCAAAAGGCAGAACUGAACCGUGUGACAUUGAGUUCUCAGACUCUCAGACCAGACUUUUUCCAUCACUUUGUUUUUCUUAGUUUUGCUUUCUACAGUUUCAGUUACCUGUGGUCAACUGCGGACGGGAAGCAGAUGAUCGUCCUUCUGACGAAUCAUGAGAUGGUCAAUAGCAGCCUAAUGCUACGGCACAUGCCUGCGCCUUUCACCGCACUUCGUCUAGUCCGUGGGCAUCUUAUCCUCUGACAUAAGCACAAGAAGACAGGUAACCAUAAAUUUAAUAUCAUUGGCCCAUGUUCCCUACAACAAAAAGUACAAAGAAUACCUGGGAGAAGUUGCAGAUGAGAAGUCAAGAGAAUGAAGCUGUUGCUAACACCAGUGUUCCUAGCGGCAAAGGGACAAGGAAAAACUAGAAGAUAGAAGUUGUUUGCUUAUUUGCUCUCUUGUACCUAUGGGACCUCAGAGAACGUAAUUCCACACCUUCCUCUAACCUUGGCCAGGCCACAGACACACCAAGAACUCCCUCGGUGGGGCCAUGCCUUCAACCUAUGAGUCAGAGACUGGACUGGCUAAAUCAUGAAGACCACUUUAAACAUGCACAUGACAUCUGGAGGUGGAGAAGUCACCUAUGGUCAAGAGGAUAAGAGCCAUACAAUAAAGAUGGCAGAACUGGAAGAUAGAAGGAAUUGGUCUAAUGAGUUCUUUAAGCAACUGCACCAACUUGAGACUGACUACCUCCAGAAUUCUUGUUACAGGGGGCAAGUGAGCUCAUAGUAGGAAGAAACUACAUGUUGGAACUGAACCAACAAUAUGUGUUUCUUUCUGCGGAUCAGCACAAUUUUGUAAGAGCUAAAAUGAUUCAAGCAGAUGUUCAUCAUGGGACUGCCGGCAAAAGGACUGAGAGUCACAAAGAUAAAUUCCAAUCCAGUGUUUGGAAAUCUCCCCACCACACUCAAGCGUCUUUUGAAGUGUAUCCUCCUUACUGUAUAAAUUUGAGGCCCCAUGUAACCUGGAUCCACACGGAGACCGCUCCCAGGGCUUUGGCAGAGACCUAUGCACCUGGAGGACCCUGUCGCUAAAGUUCCUCUAGCUGCAAGAUAAUUAGACUGUUCUUUACCUGCCAUUGAAGGAAUGUCACUGUAAGCAGACACGAACUCCAUGGCAACGUGUAGAUCAGCACUUUCUCUGUCAAUACCUGGGAAAUGUCAUUUCUCUGAAAUUCUGCUAAGGAACUUCUUCUCAGGAACAGAUUAGACAACUAGUGACCAAGGAAAUGUGUAAACAUGUUUAAACUGAAAAGCAUUAUUGGGUCAGCCAACUACUUAAGAAAGAACAGCCUUGGCAAAUGACGGAGAAUGAGAGAGGAAGACGUACAAAUUUCCUCCCGGCCUUGAGAUGAGAGCAGCUUGGCUGGAGGACCCCAGCUGGGAAGUGGGGAAGCCUGACUGCUCUCCUUUCACCCAUGUCCUGGACAGCUCUGCAAAGGAUGGCGAAGUAUCAAAACAGGACCUGAUUCAAUUACCUGCCUUUUGUUUACUUCCAGUCGAAUGGUUAAUAUCAGCAAAAGCAUUUUUAUUACUUUAUGGAUAUGAAUGUAAAUUUGGUAUAAAAGACUGGCAGUUGACAAACCUGUUUACCUGGGAGUUUAGGGAUGAUUAAUCCUUGGUGCGUGUGUGCAUGCAUAUGUGUUUUAAAUAUUCCAUUCUCAAGUUUUUCUAAGAAAGCCUACAUUGACAUUUUUAAUACCAACUGUGAAGGAUCGUGAAAAAUUAGGCCAUUUUAAAUGAAAAUAAAUUCAGAAAUGGGAGAAUUACAUACGAGAUGGUUAAACACUGCAUAAUGAAUAAUAAAUUAAAGGGAGCUUAUUGGUUAAAAGAAGUUGGAAGACUGAAGAAUCUCCAAGGUCCACUCAAGUCUAUGUUUCCUUGAGCAACAAAACAAGAAAAGAUUGAGGAAAUUCAGAAGCAAAAAAAAACAGAGUUCAACUUAAAAAAAAAUUCUAAAGUGCUCUUCAAAAUAUUUCACUAUAAUGACAUAGAAGGCUAUGGUGUGCUUGAUAGGUAAAUGGUGAAAAUGGUGAUCUGUUUGUAAGGAAGCAAAAAAUACAUGCCUUAGGGAAGUUGUGGAACCGAAGAGAAAAAUGUAAGAAUACCUCGGCAAAAAUAUACAUGGGUGGAACAUCAUUAGAAGAAUUAUGUUAGAAGCAGGCAUUUAAAAACCCCAGAGAAAUGGAUGAUAGGAGAAUUCACAGUAAAAAUAAUUAGGGGCCUCUGGGUGGCUCAGUGGGUUUAGUUAAGCAUCUGCCUUCAGCUCAGGUCAUGAUCCCAGGGUCCUGGGAUCGAGU